rnacentral:lncRNA from 1 species
CGUGUCUUCUGAUUGGCUGACGUUAUUUUGUUAUCAGCACAUAGACAUAAUUUAGUCAUGUGACCGUGACGUCAUCAACGUUUUUUCAUGGUUUUCUACGAUUUAAAAUGGAAUUUAGAAUUAAAUUAUAAGAAAUGACUGUACUAUUUUUUCUGUCUAUUCGAAAUAACAUAAAAAAUGUGGUGCACACUGAUCAAUAACUCGCUACGCGCGUUAUUCAGUGUGCACCAAAUUUGUUAUGUUAUUUCUUCAUAGACAGAAAAAAAUAUUACAGUCAUUCCUUAAUUACAUUACAUUA